AAGCUGGGAUCAAGGGUCGGAGACGUCUUCUCUUCGAGUCUCCUGGGGCAGUCCAGAGGCUGCCACAACGUGGGCCGCGGCCUGGGUCCCUGCCGUGGGGGCCCCCAUUAGUUCAGGCCAUGCCCGCGGCCGCCGCCCCCAUUAUCAGCUCGGUUCAGAAACUGGUCCUGUACGAGACUAGAGCUAGAUACUUUCUAGUUGGGAGCAAUCAUGCAGAAACAAAAUAUCGUGUUUUGAAAAUUGAUAGAACAGAACCAAAAGAUUUGGUAAUAAUUGAUGAUAGGCAUGUAUAUACUCAGCAAGAAGUGCGAGAACUUCUUGGCCGCUUGGAUCUAGGAAAUAGGACAAAGAUGGGACAGAAAGGAUCAUCUGGGUUAUUUCGAGCUGUUUCAGCUUUUGGUGUUGUAGGUUUUGUCAGGUUUUUAGAAGGCUAUUAUAUUGUGUUAAUAACCAAAAGGAGGAAGAUGGCAGAUAUUGGAGGUCAUGCAAUAUAUAAGAUUGAAGAUACAAAUAUGAUCUAUAUACCCAAUGAUUCUGUACGGAUUACUCAUCCUGAUGAAGCUAGGUAUCUACGAAUAUUUCAAAAUGUGGACCUGUCCAGCAAUUUUUACUUUAGUUACAGCUAUGAUUUGUCCCACUCACUUCAAUAUAAUCUCACUGUCUUGCGUAUGCCCCUGGAGAUGUUAAAGUCAGAAACGACCCAGACUCGCCAGGAGAGUUUCGACAUCUUUGAAGAUGAAGGGUUAAUUACACAGGGUGGAAGCGGUGUAUUUGGGAUCUGUAGUGAGCCUUAUAUGAAGUAUGUGUGGAACGGCGAACUUCUGGAUAUAAUUAAAAAUACUGUCCAUCGUGACUGGCUGCUGUAUAUUAUUCAUGGGUUCUGUGGGCAGUCAAAGCUGUUGAUCUAUGGACGACCUGUGUAUGUCACUUUAAUAGCUAGAAGAUCCAGUAAGUUUGCUGGGACCCGUUUUCUCAAGAGAGGUGCAAACUGUGAGGGUGAUGUUGCAAAUGAAGUGGAAACUGAACAAAUACUCUGCGACGCUUCUGUCAUGUCUUUUACUGCAGGAAGUUAUUCUUCUUAUGUGCAAGUUAGAGGAUCAGUUCCCUUAUACUGGUCUCAGGACAUUUCAACUAUGAUGCCUAAGCCACCUAUUACAUUGGAUCAGGCAGAUCCAUUUGCCCAUGUGGCUGCCCUUCACUUUGACCAGAUGCUUCAGAGGUUUGGCUCCCCCAUCAUCAUCUUAAAUUUAGUGAAGGAACGAGAGAAAAGAAAGCAUGAGAGAAUUUUGAGUGAAGAACUCGUAGCUGCUGUGACCUACCUCAACCAGUUUUUGCCUCCCGAGCACACGAUUAUUUAUAUUCCUUGGGAUAUGGCCAAGUACACCAAAAGCAAGCUGUGUAAUGUUUUGGAUCGCCUGAACGUGAUUGCAGAAAGUGUGGUGAAGAAAACAGGCUUCUUUGUAAACCGCCCUGAUUCAUACUGUAGCAUUUUGCGGCCAGAUGAAAAGUGGAAUGAACUAGGAGGAUGUGUGAUUUCCACUGGUCGCCUGCAGACUGGUGUUCUUCGAACCAACUGUGUGGACUGUUUGGAUCGCACCAACACAGCACAGUUUAUGGUGGGGAAAUGUGCUCUGGCUUAUCAGCUGUAUUCCUUGGGCUUAAUUGACAAACCGAAUCUACAGUUUGAUACAGAUGCAGUUAGGUUAUUUGAGGAACUCUAUGAAGAUCAUGGGGAUACCCUGUCCCUUCAGUAUGGUGGUUCCCAACUUGUUCAUCGUGUAAAAACCUACAGAAAGAUAGCACCGUGGACCCAGCACUCAAAAGACAUCAUGCAGACCCUGUCUAGAUAUUACAGCAAUGCUUUUUCAGAUGCUGAUAGACAAGAUUCCAUUAAUCUCUUCCUGGGAGUUUUCCAUCCCACUGAAGGGAAACCUCAUCUCUGGGAACUCCCGACAGAUUUUUAUUUGCAUCAUAAAAAUACCAUGAGACUUUUACCAACAAGAAGAAGUUAUACUUACUGGUGGACACCAGAGGUAAUAAAACAUUUACCACUGCCUUAUGAUGAAGUUAUCUGUGCCGCGAACUUAAAGAAGUUGAUAGUGAAGAAGUUUCACAAGUACGAAGAGGAGAUUGACAUCCACAACGAAUUUUUUCGACCAUACGAGCUGAGUAGUUUUGAUGACACCUUUUGCUUGGCUAUGACGAGUUCAGCGCGUGACUUCAUGCCUAAGACUUUUGGCAUUGAUCCAAGUCCGUUUACAGUACGUAAGCCAGAUGAAACCGGAAAAUCAGUAUUGGGAAACAAGAGCAACAGAGAAGAAGCUGUGUUACAGCGGAAAACGGCCGCCAGUGCCCCACCGCCGCCCAGCGAGGAGGCCGUGUCCAGCAGCUCUGAUGACGACUCCGGGACCGACCGGGAGGAGGAGGGCUCCGUGUCCCAGCGCUCCACACCAGUGAAGAUGACUGACACGGGCGACAGUGCCAAAGUGACGGAGAAUGUGGUCCAGCCCAUGAAAGAGGUGUAUGGAAUCAACCUCUCAGAUGGCCUCUCAGAAGAAAAUCUCUCCAUUUAUUUAAGAUUUGUGCAGCUGGGGCAGAGUCAACAUAAACAAGACAAGAGCAGCCAGCAGUUCUGUUCCAGGUGCCCAGAUGGAGUUAUAAAAUUGGGCCAAGGAUAUAAACAAAGACGGGAAUAGGAAGAAACUCUAGAGAAGUGUGGUUUCACAGAAGCCAAGAGAAGAAAAUGUUUCGAGAAGGAAGGAGUGGGCAGCAGUCUUGAAUACAGAGAAAUUAACAGGGAGUGAUAUACAGUAUGAUACUCUCUUGUGAUGCUGGCUCCCACUGGACAAAGAUGGGAAAAUUUGCACUUCAAUAAGGAUAUUAAAUACAGCAGGAUGGAACUCAUCAAAUAUGUUUAAAUCCAUGAGUUUAUGAUGAUUUUUUAAAAAUCUGGUCACCUUAGAAGGAUGAUAAGGAACUAUUGCAUUACCUGGAAAACAAAGAAUCAAGCAUAUGACUCUGAAUCAUAUGAAUUGUACCGUUGUGUAACCAAACAAGAGAUGAGGAAAAAAAUCUUUUUAAAAAAGUGUGACCAGGGCUUCCCUGGCAGUGCAGUGGUUAAGAAUCCACCUGCCAAUGCAGGGGACACGGCUUCGAGUCCUGGUCCAGGAAGAUACCACAUGCCGCAGAGCAACUAAGCCCGUGCGCCACAACUACUGAGCCUGCGUUCUAGAGCCCAUGAGCCACAACUACUGAAGCCCACGCGCCUGGAGCCCGUGCUCCGCAACUAGAGAAGCCACCGCAAUGAGAAGCCCGCACACUGCAACGAAGAGUAGCCCCCGCUCGCCACAACUAGAGAAAGCCCGCGCACAGCAACAAAGACCCAACGCAGCCAAAAAUAAAUAAAUAAAAUAAAUAUAUAUAUUUUUAAAGUGUGACAACUGAUAAAUGAAAAAAAAUAAGAUAAUUAUCAUCUGGCAAUCCCCAGUGAAUUAAUGGAUCUAGGCAUUGCAUAUCAAUGACUGUGGGCAUCAAAAAAGAGAAACAGCUAGACACUGUGGCCCUCCUGAUGACACAGCACUCCACCACCUGUGGUCUCGCCACAGCAAUUGAAGCAAAUUCUCACCAAGCCUCUGGAUCCAGUUGCUGGCUUGCAGGAAAUAUAAAGGACAGAGGAACAUUUUUGAACUGCGUCAUGAAUAUGCCAUCAGCAAAACCCAGAUGAGAGAAACUCUACAACCUGGUUUCUUCGACAAAUUAAAGGUGAAAAGCAUCGAUAGAUUGAAGCAGUUUUCCAUGAUAAAUAUUAGAACACCCAUCUCAGCUUUCUCCCAAGACAACAUCUAUGAAGUUCAGCCUCCACAAGUAGACAGAAAA